GAUGAACGCUGGCGGCGUGCCUAACACAUGCAAGUCGAACGGAAAGGCCUCUUUCGGGGGGUACUCGAGUGGCGAACGGGUGAGUAACACGUGAGUAACCUGCCCUUGACUUUGGGAUAACUUCAGGAAACUGGGGCUAAUACCGGAUAGGAGCUCCUGCUGCAUGGUGGGGGUUGGAAAGUUUCGGCGGUUGGGGAUGGACUCGCGGCUUAUCAGCUUGUUGGUGGGGUAGUGGCUUACCAAGGCUUUGACGGGUAGCCGGCCUGAGAGGGUGACCGGCCACAUUGGGACUGAGAUACGGCCCAGACUCCUACGGGAGGCAGCAGUGGGGAAUAUUGCACAAUGGGUGGAAGCCUGAUGCAGCAACGCCGUGUGCGGGAUGACGGCCUUCGGGUUGUAAACCGCUUUCGCUCAUGACGAAGCUUUGUGUGACGGUAGUGGGUAAAGAAGCACCGGCUAACUACGUG
rnacentral:rRNA from 1 species